AAUCUACUCUACAAUUUGAUAUGUAUGUUAUUUAUUUUUGGUAGUAAACCAUUUUUACCUACUUUUGGUUUUCAAAUGACAAACUAUAUUAAAAAUUCCAUAAAUAGAUGGAGUAGUAAUUAAAUACAUUUUGGUGUUUAAAUUUUAAAUUUCCGUCAUUUCUUUGACGAGAUAUUUCACUUUUUAGUUUAGGUUGAAGGACAAUAGUGGUGUAUUACUAACAUCCCCACACAAAUGAUACUCUUCUCUUACU